rfam:Neocallimastix californiae strain G1 LY90scaffold_93, whole genome shotgun sequence.
AAAACGGCUUUUCUAAAAGCCAAAGUAAAAAAGAAACCUCAAAUUCU